GCCAAGAAGGUGCCGGCAGGCGCGGGAUGACGGCGGGGGCAAGCGUUGCCUGGGGUUAGUGGGCGUCAAGCUGUGGCAGGUGGUUCGAUGCGUCGUGCGUGGAAGCCCCCGGCUCAACUGGGGGGUGUCGUGCGAUACGGGCGGACUGGAGGCCAGUAGGGGGAUGCGGAAUUCCGGGUGUAGUGGUGGAAUGCGUAGAGAUCCGGAGGAACACCAGCGGCGAAGGCGGCAUCCUGGACUGGUCCUGACACUCAGGAGCGAAAGCGUGGGGAGCGAUCCGGAUUAGAUACCCCUGUAGUC
rnacentral:rRNA from 1 species